AGCGAACGCUGGCGGCAGGCCUAACACAUGCAAGUCGAACGAACCCUUCGGGGUUAGUGGCGGACGGGUGAGUAACACGUGGGAACGUGCCUUUAGGUUCGGAAUAACUCAGGGAAACUUGUGCUAAUACCGAAUGUGCCCUUCGGGGGAAAGAUUUAUCGCCUUUAGAGCGGCCCGCGUCUGAUUAGCUAGUUGGUGAGGUAAUGGCUCACCAAGGCUACGAUCAGUAGCUGGUCUGAGAGGAUGACCAGCCACAUUGGGACUGAGACACGGCCCAAACUCCUACGGGAGGCAGCAGUGGGGAAUCUUGCGCAAUGGGCGAAAGCCCGACGCAGCCAUGCCGCGUGGAUGAUGAAGGUCUUAGGAUUGUAAAAUCCUUUCACCGGUGAAGAUAAUGACUGUAGCCGGAGAAGAAGCCCCGGCUAACUUCGUGCCAGCCGCCGCAGUAACAC
rnacentral:rRNA from 1 species